CUGGAGACUCAACAUGAAGCUACCGGCCAGGGUUUUCUUUACUCUGGGGUCCCGGCUGCCCUGUGGCCUCGCUCCUCGGAGGUUUUUCAGUUAUGGGACAAAAAUAUUAUAUCAAAACACUGAAGCUUUGCAAUCUAAAUUCUUUUCACCUCUUCAAAAAGCGAUGCUACCACCUAAUAGUUUUCAAGGAAAAGUGGCAUUCAUUACUGGGGGAGGUACUGGCCUUGGUAAAGGAAUGACAACUCUUCUGUCCAGCCUAGGUGCUCAGUGCGUGAUAGCCAGCCGAAAUGCUUUUCUUUAAGCUAUGGAUUCUCUGUAUUCUUCAAUUUAUGAAAUUGAAAAAUAUAAUAUGAAGUCAUACAAGGUGUUUAUUUCUAGGAAGAUGGAUGUUUUGAAAGCUACCGCAGAACAAAUUUCUUCUCAAACUGGAAAUAAGGUUCAUGCAAUUCAGUGUGAUGUGAGGGAUCCUGAUAUGGUUCAAAACACUGUGUCAGAACUGAUCAAAGUUGCAGGACAUCCUAAUAUUG
rnacentral:lncRNA from 1 species